UACGUAGGGUGCAAGCGUUAAUCGGAAUUACUGGGCGUAAAGCGUGCGCAGGCGGUUUUGUAAGUCAGAUGUGAAAUCCCCGGGCUUAACCUGGGAAUGGCAUUUGGGACUGCAAGGCUCGAGUGCGGCAGAGGAGACUGGAAUUCCUGGUGUAGCAGUGAAAUGCGUAGAUAUCAGGAGGAACACCGAUGGCGAAGGCAGGUCUCUGGGCUGACACUGACGCUCAUGCACGAAAGCGUGGGGAGCAAACAGG
rnacentral:rRNA from 1 species